AACGUAGGGGACAAGCGUUAUCCGGAUUUACCGGGCGUAAAGCGCCCGUAGGCGGCCUGACAAGUUGGACGUGAAAGCUCCUGGCUUAACUGGGAGAGGCCGUUCAAAACUGUCAAGCUAGAGUCUGGAAGAGGAGAGCGGAAUUCCCGGUGUAGUGGUGGAAUGCGUAGAGAUCGGGAGGAACACCAGUGGCGAAAGCGGCUCUCUGGUCCAAAACUGACGCUGAGGGGCGAAAGCGUGGGGAGCGAACGGG
rnacentral:rRNA from 1 species